rnacentral:tRNA from 1 species
ACCUGGCUGGCUCAGUCGGAAGAGCAUGCAAUUCUUGAUUUUGGGUCAUGAGUUCGAGUCCCAUGUCAGGUG